UAGGGAAUCUUCGGCAAUGGACGGAAGUCUGACCGAGCAACGCCGCGUGAGGGAAGAAGGCUCUCGGAUCGUAAAGCUCUGUUGUUAGAGAAGAACGUUGGCAGGAGUGGAAAAUCUACCAAGUGACGGUAACUAACCAGAAAGGGACGGCCAACUACGUGCCAGCAGCCGCGGUAAUACGUAGGUCCCGAGCGUUGUCCGGAUUUAUUGGGCGUAAAGCGAGCGCAGGCGGUUCUUUAAGUCUGAAGUUAAAGGCAGUGGCUUAACCAUUGUACGCUUUGGAAACUGGGGGACUUGAGUGCAGAAGGGGAGAGUGGAAUUCCAUGUGUAGCGGUGAAAUGCGUAGAUAUAUGAAGGAACACCGGUGGCGAAAGCGGCUCUCUGGUCUGUAACUGACGAUGAGGCUAGAAAGCGUGGGGAGCAAACAGG
rnacentral:rRNA from 1 species